rnacentral:rRNA from 1 species
GUGGGGAAUAUUGGACAAUGGGCGAAAGCCUGAUCCAGCCAUGCCGCGUGUGUGAAGAAGGUCUUCGGAUUGUAAAGCACUUUAAGUUGGGAGGAAGGGCAGUAAGUUAAUACCUUGCUGUUUUGACGUUACCGACAGAAUAAGCACCGGCUAACUUCGUGCCAGCAGCCGCGGUAAUACGAAGGGUGCAAGCGUUAAUCGGAAUUACUGGGCGUAAAGCGCGCGUAGGUGGUUUUGUAAGUUGGAGGUGAAAUCCCCGGGCUCAACCUGGGAACUGCCUCAAAAACUGCAUGACUAGAGUACGGUAGAGGGUAGUGGAAUUUCCUGUGUAGCGGUGAAAUGCGUAGAUAUAGGAAGGAACACCAGUGGCGAAGGCGACUACCUGGACUGAUACUGACACUGAGGUGCGAAAGCGUGGGGAGCAAACAGGAUUAGAAACCCGGGUAGUCC